rnacentral:sRNA from 1 species
GUCACGGCCCCGCGGGGCAGCCAUGCCUGGCCGUCUGCUGCGGGGCCUGUGGCAGCGAUGGCGCCGUUACAAGUACCGCUUCGUUCCCUGGAUCGCACUGAACCUAAGCCACAACCCGAGGACCCUCCGAUAUGUUCCAGAGGAAUCCAAAGACAAAGUUAUCUCAGAUGAAGAUGUCCUAGGAACAUUACUGAAAGUUUUCCAGGCUCUAUUCUUAAAUGAUUUCAAUAAACAAUCAGAAAUCUUGACUAUGCUUCCAGAAUCUGUUAAAUCAAAAUAUCAAGACCUACUGGCAGUUGAACAUCAAGGGGUGAAACUGCUUGAAAACAGACAUCAACAGCAAAGUACCUUUAAACCAGAAGAAAUUCUUUACAAGACUUUGGGUUUCAGUGUUGCCCAAGCAACUAGCUCAUUGAUUUCUGCUGGAAAAGGUGUCUUCGUUACUAAAGGAUUGGUACAGUAUAUCAGAAGUAUGAGCCGAUCUUUUUCCAGUCCAUUGGAAAUCCGUUUAUUUUUAGAUGCCUGGAUGGGGUACUCAUUGAUGGGAAUGACAAAGGGAU